UCCUAGUUAACCUAGGCAGUCUCACUAGAGUACCCAACUUAAUGAUGGCAACUAAUGACAAGGGUUGCGCUCGUUGCUGGACUUAACCAAACACCUCACGGCACGAGCUGACGACAGCCAUGCAGCACCUAUACAGAAGUCCUUACGGAAAACUACAUCUCUGCAGUCGCCCUCUGUAUUUCGAGCCCAGGUAAGGUUCUUCGCGUUGCAUCGAAUUAAACCACAUGCUCCACUGCUUGUGCGGGCCCCCGUCAAUUCUUUUGAGUUUUACCCUUGCGAGCGUACUCCUCAGGCGGUGUACUUAUCGCGUUAGCUACGACACAGUCGGGGUUGAGCCCAACUCCAUCAAGUACACAUCGUUUACGGCAAGGACUAC
rnacentral:misc_RNA from 1 species